CAAGAAGAAUUUUUUGCCAAAUUCAAGAUUCUUCAAGAUCUCUUCACUGGAAUCUCUAACCAGGACAAGGCGCCUUCAGCAGGAUUUUCAGCCAAAACCAAGAUUCUUCAAGAUCUCUUCACCGGAAUCUCUUACCAAGACAAGGUCGAGUCUUCACUGGGAUUUUUUUAGCCAAGAAGGAAUUUCCGCCAAAUCCAAGAUUCUUCAAGAUCUCUUCACUGGAAUCUCUCACCAAGACAAGGCUGAAUGAGUGUUUUAUGGCACAUUAGAAGUGAAUAUAAGCUUCCAGUGUCAAAUUAAAGAACAAUACUGUACAUAAAAUCCAUAAAUACUGUAUUUAAGCUUUGGGAAAAGUUCUACUAGGAGACUCUGAUGCCAUGUCUCUCUUUACCUCGACCAAUCACGAG
rnacentral:lncRNA from 1 species